rnacentral:rRNA from 1 species
GACAGAGGUGGCGAGCGUUGUUCGGAUUUACUGGGCGUAAAGGGCGCGUAGGCGGAUAGUUUAGUCAGAGGUAAAAGCCCAGGGCUCAACCUUGGAACUGCCUUUGAUACUGGCUAUCUUGAGUUCGGGAGAGGUGAGUGGAAUGCCGAGUGUAGAGGUGAAAUUCGUAGAUAUUCGGCGGAACACCAGUGGCGAAGGCGACUCACUGGCCCGAUACUGGCGCUGAGGCGCGAAAGCGUGGGGAGCAAACAGGAUUAGAAACCCCGGUAGU